UUAAGCGACUAAGCGUACACGGUGGAUGCCCUGGCAGUCAGAGGCGAUGAAGGACGUGCUAAUCUGCGAUAAGCGUCGGUAAGGUGAUAUGAACCGUUAUAACCGGCGAUUUCCGAAUGGGGAAACCCAGUGUGAUUCGUCACACUAUCAUUAACUGAAUCCAUAGGUUAAUGAGGCGAACCGGGGGAACUGAAACAUCUAAGUACCCCGAGGAAAAGAAAUCAACCGAGAUUCCCCCAGUAGCGGCGAGCGAACGGGGAGCAGCCCAGAGCCUGAAUCAGUGUGUGUGUUAGUGGAAGCGUCUGGAAAGGCGCGCGAUACAGGGUGACAGCCCCGUACACAAAAAUGCACAUGCUGUGAGCUCGAUGAGUAGGGCGGGACACGUGGUAUCCUGUCUGAAUAUGGGGGGACCAUCCUCCAAGGCUAAAUACUCCUGACUGACCGAUAGUGAACCAGUACCGUGAGGGAAAGGCGAAAAGAACCCCGGCGAGGGGAGUGAAAAAGAACCUGAAACCGUGUACGUACAAGCAGUGGGAGCCUCUUUAUGGGGUGACUGCGUACCUUUUGUAUAAUGGGUCAGCGACUUAUAUUCUGUAGCAAGGUUAACCGAAUAGGGGAGCCGAAGGGAAACCGAGUCUUAACUGGGCGUUAAGUUGCAGGGUAUAGACCCGAAACCCGGUGAUCUAGCCAUGGGCAGGUUGAAGGUUGGGUAACACUAACUGGAGGACCGAACCGACUAAUGUUGAAAAAUUAGCGGAUGACUUGUGGCUGGGGGUGAAAGGCCAAUCAAACCGGGAGAUAGCUGGUUCUCCCCGAAAGCUAUUUAGGUAGCGCCUCGUGAAUUCAUCUCCGGGGGUAGAGCACUGUUUCGGCAAGGGGGUCAUCCCGACUUACCAACCCGAUGCAAACUGCGAAUACCGGAGAAUGUUAUCACGGGAGACACACGGCGGGUGCUAACGUCCGUCGUGAAGAGGGAAACAACCCAGACCGCCAGCUAAGGUCCCAAAGUCAUGGUUAAGUGGGAAACGAUGUGGGAAGGCCCAGACAGCCAGGAUGUUGGCUUAGAAGCAGCCAUCAUUUAAAGAAAGCGUAAUAGCUCACUGGUCGAGUCGGCCUGCGCGGAAGAUGUAACGGGGCUAAACCAUGCACCGAAGCUGCGGCAGCGACACUAUGUGUUGUUGGGUAGGGGAGCGUUCUGUAAGCCUGUGAAGGUGUACUGUGAGGUAUGCUGGAGGUAUCAGAAGUGCGAAUGCUGACAUAAGUAACGAUAAAGCGGGUGAAAAGCCCGCUCGCCGGAAGACCAAGGGUUCCUGUCCAACGUUAAUCGGGGCAGGGUGAGUCGACCCCUAAGGCGAGGCCGAAAGGCGUAGUCGAUGGGAAACAGGUUAAUAUUCCUGUACUUGGUGUUACUGCGAAGGGGGGACGGAGAAGGCUAUGUUGGCCGGGCGACGGUUGUCCCGGUUUAAGCGUGUAGGCUGGUUUUCCAGGCAAAUCCGGAAAAUCAAGGCUGAGGCGUGAUGACGAGGCACUACGGUGCUGAAGCAACAAAUGCCCUGCUUCCAGGAAAAGCCUCUAAGCAUCAGGUAACAUCAAAUCGUACCCCAAACCGACACAGGUGGUCAGGUAGAGAAUACCAAGGCGCUUGAGAGAACUCGGGUGAAGGAACUAGGCAAAAUGGUGCCGUAACUUCGGGAGAAGGCACGCUGAUAUGUAGGUGAAGCGACUUGCUCGUGGAGCUGAAAUCAGUCGAAGAUACCAGCUGGCUGCAACUGUUUAUUAAAAACACAGCACUGUGCAAACACGAAAGUGGACGUAUACGGUGUGACGCCUGCCCGGUGCCGGAAGGUUAAUUGAUGGGGUUAGCGGUAACGCGAAGCUCUUGAUCGAAGCCCCGGUAAACGGCGGCCGUAACUAUAACGGUCCUAAGGUAGCGAAAUUCCUUGUCGGGUAAGUUCCGACCUGCACGAAUGGCGUAAUGAUGGCCAGGCUGUCUCCACCCGAGACUCAGUGAAAUUGAACUCGCUGUGAAGAUGCAGUGUACCCGCGGCAAGACGGAAAGACCCCGUGAACCUUUACUAUAGCUUGACACUGAACAUUGAGCCUUGAUGUGUAGGAUAGGUGGGAGGCUUUGAAGUGUGGACGCCAGUCUGCAUGGAGCCGACCUUGAAAUACCACCCUUUAAUGUUUGAUGUUCUAACGUUGGCCCGUUAUCCGGGUUGCGGACAGUGUCUGGUGGGUAGUUUGACUGGGGCGGUCUCCUCCUAAAGAGUAACGGAGGAGCACGAAGGUUGGCUAAUCCUGGUCGGACAUCAGGAGGUUAGUGCAAUGGCAUAAGCCAGCUUGACUGCGAGCGUGACGGCGCGAGCAGGUGCGAAAGCAGGUCAUAGUGAUCCGGUGGUUCUGAAUGGAAGGGCCAUCGCUCAACGGAUAAAAGGUACUCCGGGGAUAACAGGCUGAUACCGCCCAAGAGUUCAUAUCGACGGCGGUGUUUGGCAC
rnacentral:rRNA from 1 species